UACAGAGGGUGCAAGCGUUAAUCGGAUUUACUGGGCGUAAAGCGCAUGUAGGCGGUUUGUCAAGUUGGAUGUGAAAGCCCUGGGCUUAACCUGGGAACUGCAUUCAAAACUACUAGACUAGAGUAAAGUAGAGGGUAGUGGAAUUCCCGGUGUAGUGGUGAAAUGCGUAGAUAUCGGGAGGAACACCAGUGGCGAAGGCGACUACCUGGCCUGUUCUUGACGCUGAGGCGCGAAAGCUAGGGGAGCAAACGGG
rnacentral:rRNA from 1 species